UACGUAGGGUGCGAGCGUUGUCCGGAAUUAUUGGGCGUAAAGAGCUUGUAGGCGGUCUGUCGCGUCUGCUGUGAAAAUCCGGGGCUCAACCCCGGACUUGCAGUGGGUACGGGCAGACUAGAGUGUGGUAGGGGAGACUGGAAUUCCUGGUGUAGCGAUGAAAUGCGCAGAUAUCAGGAGGAACACCGAUGGCGAAGGCAGGUCUCUGGGCCACUACUGACGCUGAGAAGCGAAAGCAUGGGGAGCGAACAGG
rnacentral:rRNA from 1 species